UUAUAUUCUGUAGCAAGGUUAACCGUAUAGGGGAGCCGGAGGGAAACCGAGUCUUAAUUGGGCGUUAAGUUGCAGGGUAUAGACCCGAAACCCGGUGAUCUAGCCAUGGGCAGGUUGAAGGUUGGGUAACACUAACUGGAGGACCGAACCGACUAAUGUUGAAAAAUUAGCGGAUGACCUGUGGCUGGGGGUGAAAGGCCAAUCAAACCGGGAGAUAGCUGGUUCUCCCCGAAAGCUAUUUAGGUAGCGCCUCGUGAAUUCAUCUCCGGGGGUAGAGCACUGUUUCGGCUAGGGGGCCAUCCCGGCUUACCAACCCGAUGCAAACUGCGAAUACCGGAGAAUGUUAUCACGGGAGACACACGGCGGGUGCUAACGUCCGUCGUGAAGAGGGAAACAACCCAGACCGCCAGCUAAGGUCCCAAAGUCAUGGUUAAGUGGGAAACGAUGUGGGAAGGCCCAGACAGCCAGGAUGUUGGCUUAGAAGCAGCCAUCAUUUAAAGAAAGCGUAAUAGCUCACUGGUCGAGUCGGCCUGCGCGGAAGAUGUAACGGGGCUAAACCAUGCACCGAAGCUGCGGCAGCGACGCUGAUGCGUUGUUGGGUAGGGGAGCGUUCUGUAAGCCUGCGAAGGUGACCUGUGAGGGUUGCUGGAGGUAUCAGAAGUGCGAAUGCUGACAUAAGUAACGAUAAAGCG
rnacentral:rRNA from 1 species